rnacentral:rRNA from 1 species
CUGGUUGAUCCUGCCAGUAGUCAUAUGCUUGUCUCAAAGAUUAAGCCAUGCAUGUCUAAGUAUAAACACUUUAUACUGUGAAACUGCGAAUGGCUCAUUAAAUCAGUUAUAGUUUACUUGAUAGUACCUUACUACUUGGAUAACCGUGGUAAUUCUAGUGCUAAUACAUGCUUUAAGCCCCGACUUCUGGAAGGGGUGUAUUUAUUAGAUUAAAAACCAAUCGUAGCAAUACGUUUACUGGUGAAUCAUGAUAACUAUUCGAAUCGCAUGGCUCUGCCGGCGAUGGUUCAAUCAAAUUUCUGCCCUAUCAAGUUUCGAUUGUAGUAUAGAGGACUACAAUGCUUUUAACGGGUAACGGAGAAUUAGGGUUCGAUUCCGGAGAGGGAGCCUGAGAAACGGCUACCACAUCCAAGGAAGGCAGCAGGCGCGCAAAUUACCCAAUCCCGACACGGGGAGGUAGUGACAAUAAAUAACAAUACAGAGCUUUUUAAGUUUUGUAAUUGUAAUGAGAACAAUUUAAACCUCUUAACGAGAACCAAUUGGAGGGCAAGUCUGGUGGCCAGCAGCCGCGGUAAUUCCAGCUCCAAUAGCGUAUAUUAAAGUUGUUGCAGUUAAAAAGCUCGUAGUUGAAUUUUGGACUUGGCUGGUUGGUCUUUGCGAAAGCAAAGUACUAUUCCGGCUGAGUCUUUCCUUCUGGCGAACAAUUGUGCUAUUUAUUUAGUGCGAUUGGGAACCAGGACUUUUACUUUGAAAAAAUUAGAGUGUUUAAAGCAGGCUUACGCUUGAAUACAUUAGCAUGGAAUAAUAAAAUAGGACUUUGGUUUUAUUUUGUUGGUUUUCGAAACCAAAGUAAUGAUUAAUAGGGAUAGUUGGGGGCAUUAGUAUUGAGCCGUCAGAGGUGAAAUUCUUGGAUUGGCUCAAGACUAACUUCUGCGAAAGCAUUUGCCAAGGAUGUUUUCAUUAAUCAAGAACGAAAGUUAGGGGAUCGAAGACGAUCAGAUACCGUCGUAGUCUUAACCAUAAACUAUGCCGACUAGCGAUCAGGCAAAGUUCAAUAAUGACUUGCUUGGCAGCUUAUGAGAAAUCAAAGUUUUUAGGUUCCGGGGGGAGUAUGGUCGCAAGGCUGAAACUUAAAGGAAUUGACGGAAGGGCACCACCAGGAGUUGGGGAUAGUCCUUUGCAAUUAUUGGACUUAAACGAGGAAUUCCUAGUAAGCGUGAGUCAUCAGCUCGCGUUGAUUACGUCCCUGCCCUUUGUACACACCGCCCGUCGCUAGUACCGAUUGAAUGGCUUAGUGAGACCUCCGGAUUAGCGGUUCUUUAGUGGCAACACUAUUGAGCUGCCGAGAAGUUGGUCAAACUUGGUCAUUUAGAGGAACUAAAAGUCGUAACAAGGUAACCGUAGGUGAACCUGCGGUUGGAUCAUUA